rnacentral:rRNA from 1 species
CCCUUAGAUGUCCUGGGCUGCACGCGCGCUACACUGAUGUGUCCAGUAAGCACCUAACCUCUUCCGAAAGGAACGGGUAACCUUUGCAAAGCACAUCGUGAUGGGGAUAGAUUAUUGCAAUUAUUAGUCUUGAACGAGGAAUUCCUAGUAAGCACAAGUCAUCAGCUUGUGUUGAUUACGUCCCUGCCCUUUGUACACACCGCCCGUCGCUCCUACCGAUUGGGUGUGCUGGUGAAAUGUUCGGAUCGGCCGUUUGUCGCGGUUUCCGCGUCAUGUGGCUGGGAAGUUCAUUAAACCCUCCCACCUAGAGGAAGGAGAAGUCGUAACA